rnacentral:rRNA from 1 species
AGUUAAGUGACUAAGCGUACACGGUGGAUGCCUUGGCAAUCAGAGGCGAAGAAGGACGUGCUAAUCUGCGAAAAGCGUGGGGGAGCUGAUAAGGAGCGCUAAUCCCACGAUAUCCGAAUGGGGAAACCCGAUAGAUGAAGAAUCUAUCAUUGUUGUCUGAAUUCAUAGGGCAACAAGGCAAACCGGGAGAACUGAAACAUCUAAGUACCCCGAGGAAAAGAAAUCAACCGAGAUUCUGCGAGUAGCGGCGAGCGAAAGCGGAGGAGCCAGCGAGUGAUAGCAUAAGUUUUAGGAGAAUUGUCUGGGAAGGCAAGCGAGAGAGGGUGACAGCCCCGUAUCCGAAAAGACGGAUGUGGUACUAAGCUAGCAAGAAGUAGGGCGGGACACGAGGAAUCCUGUUUGAAGAAGGGGGGACCAUCCUCCAAGGCUAAAUACUCCUGAUUGACCGAUAGUGGACCAGUACCGUGAGGGAAAGGCGAAAAGAACCCCGGGAGGGGAGUGAAAUAGAACCUGAAACCGUGUACGUACAAGCAGUGGGAGCCCGAAAGGGUGACUGCGUACCUUUUGUAUAAUGGGUCAGCGACUUAUAUUUUGUAGCGAGGUUAACCGGAUAGGGGAGCCGAAGGGAAACCGAGUCUUAACUGGGCGGUUAGUUGCAAGAUAUAGACCCGAAACCCGGUGAUCUAGCCAUGGGCAGGAAGAAGGUUGGGUAACACUAACUGGAGGGCCGAACCGACUACUGUUGAAAAAGUAGCGGAUGACCUGUGGCUGGGGGUGAAAGGCCAAUCAAACCGGGAGAUAGCUGGUUCUCCCCGAAAUCUAUUUAGGUAGAGCCUUAUAUGAAUACCUUCGGGGGUAGAGCACUGUUUCGGCUAGGGGUCCAUCCCGGAUUACCAACCCGAUGCAAACUGCGAAUACCGAAGAGUAAUGUAUAGGAGACACACGGCGGGUGCUAACGUUCGUCGUGGAGAGGGAAACAACCCAGACCGCCAGCUAAGGUCCCAAAGUCUAUAUUAAGUGGGAAACGAAGUGGAAAGGCUUAGACAGCUAGGAUGUUGGCUUAGAAGCAGCCAUCAUUUAAAGAAAGCGUAAUAGCUCACUAGUCGAGUCGGUCUGCGCGGAAGAUGUAACGGGGCUAAAAUAUAGCACCGAAGCUGCGGCAUCAGGCGUAUCACACAUACGCCUUACGAUUAACACCUUGCGAAGCAAGGUGGUCAAGCGACUUACACGUUGAGGUGUGAGCGGGAGGGAUAAUCGAAGAGAGGAAUAUGUGUGAUACGUCUGUUGGGUAGGGGAGCGUUGUGUAAGCUGAAGAAGGUGGUUCGAGAGGGCUGCUGGAGGUAUCACAAGUGCGAAUGCUGACAUAAGUAACGAUAAAGCGGGUGAAAGACCCGCUCGCCGGAAGACCAAGGUUUCCUGUCCAACGUUAAUCGGGGCAGGGUGAGUCGGCCCCUAAGGCGAGGCUGAGAAGCGUAGUCGAUGGGAAAUGGGUUAAUAUUCCCAUACUUGGAUAAACUGCGAUGUGGGGACGGAGCAGGUUAGGUUAGCGUACGGAUGGAAGAGUACGUUUAAGUUAGUAGGUGGGUGAGUUAGGCAAAUCCGGCUCACCAUUAACACUGAGAGAUGAUGACGAGGCUCUACGGAGCUGAAGUAACUGAUACCCAACUUCCAGGAAAAGCCACUAAGCGAGAGGUUUAUCUAAACCGUACUGGAAACCGACACAGGUGGUCAGGUAGAGAAUACUAAGGCGCUUGAGAGAACUCGGGUGAAGGAACUAGGCAAAAUAGCACCGUAACUUCGGGAGAAGGUGCGCUGGCGUAGUGUGAAGUUCUUCGCGAAUGGAGCAUGAACCAGUCGAAGCGACGAGCUGGCUGCAACUGUUUAAUAAAAACACAGCACUCUGCAAACACGAAAGUGGACGUAUAGGGUGUGAUGCCUGCCCGGUGCUGGAAGGUUAAUUGAUGGUGUUAUCGAAAGAGAAGCACCUGAUCGAAGCCCCAGUAAACGGCGGCCGUAACUAUAACGGUCCUAAGGUAGCGAAAUUCCUUGUCGGGUAAGUUCCGACCUGCACGAAUGGCAUAAUGAUGGCCAGGCUGUCUCCACCCGAGACUCAGUGAAAUUGAAAUCGCCGUGAAGAUGCGGUGUACCCGCGGCUAGACGGAAAGACCCCGUGAACCUUUACUAUAGCUUGACACUGAACCUUGAAUUUUAAUGUGUAGGAUAGGUGGGAGACUAAGAAGCGGUAACGCCAGUUAUCGUGGAGUCGUUGUUGAAAUACCACCCUUUAACGUUUGAUGUUCUAACGAGGCGCCUGGGACAGGUGUUCGGACAGUGUCUGGUGGGUAGUUUGACUGGGGCGGUCUCCUCCCAAAGCGUAACGGAGGAGCACGAAGGUUGGCUAAUGACGGUCGGACAUCGUCAGGUUAGUGCAAUGGUAGAAGCCAGCUUAACUGCGAGACGGACAAGUCGAGCAGGUACGAAAGUAGGUCAUAGUGAUCCGGUGGUUCUGAAUGGAAGGGCCAUCGCUCAACGGAUAAAAGGUACUCCGGGGAUAACAGGCUGAUACCGCCCAAGAGUUCAUAUCGACGGCGGUGUUUGGCACCUCGAUGUCGGCUCAUCACAUCCUGGGGCUGAAGUAGGUCCCAAGGGUAUGGCUGUUCGCCAUUUAAAGUGGUACGCGAGCUGGGUUUAGAACGUCGUGAGACAGUUCGGUCCCUAUCUGCCGUGGGCGUUGGAGGAUUGAGGGGGGUUGCUCCUAGUACGAGAGGACCGGAGUGAACGCACCGCUGGUGUUCGGGUUGUCAUGCCAAUGGCAUUGCCCGGUAGCUAAGUGCGGAAGAGAUAAGUGCUGAAAGCAUCUAAGCACGAAACUUGCCCCGAGAUGAGUUCUCCCUGACAUAGAGUCAGUAAGGGUUGUUGAAGACGACGACGUAGAUAGGUGGGGUGUGUAAGCGGUGUGAGCCGUUGAGCUAACCCAUACUAAUUGCCCGAGAGGCUUAACUAU